GAUGAACGCUAGCGGCAGGCUUAAUACAUGCAAGUCGAGGGGCAGCAUGAGGUAGCAAUACUUUGAUGGCGACCGGCAAACGGGUGCGGAACACGUACACAACCUUCCUUUAAGUGGGGAAUAGCCCAGAGAAAUUUGGAUUAAUACCCCGUAACACAACGAAGUGGCAUCACUUUGUUGUUAUAGUUUCGGCGCUUAAUGAUGGGUGUGCGUAUGAUUAGAUAGUUGGCGAGGUAACGGCUCACCAAGUCUACGAUCAUUAGCUGAUGUGAGAGCAUGAUCAGCCACACGGGCACUGAGACACGGGCCCGACUCCUACGGGAGGCAGCAGUAAGGAAUAUUGGUCAAUGGACGCAAGUCUGAACCAGCCAUGCCGCGUGAAGGAUUAAGGUCCUCUGGAUUGUAAACUUCUUUUAUAUGGGACGAAAAAAGGUCUUUCUAGACCCCUUGACGGUACCAUAUGAAUAAGCACCGGCUAACUCCGUG
rnacentral:rRNA from 1 species